CCUACGGGGGGCAGCAGUGGGGAAUAUUGGACAAUGGGGGGAACCCUGAUCCAGCCAUGCCGCGUGUGUGAAGAAGGCCCUCGGGUUGUAAAGCACUUUCAGUGAGGAAGAACGCCUGGUGGUUAAUACCCAUCAGGAAAGACAUCACUCACAGAAGAAGCACCGGCUAACUCCGUGCCAGCAGCCGCGGUAAUACGGAGGGUGCGAGCGUUAAUCGGAAUUACUGGGCGUAAAGCGCGCGUAGGUGGCUUGAUAAGCCGGUUGUGAAAGCCCCGGGCUCAACCUGGGAACGGCAUCCGGAACUGUCAAGCUAGAGUGCAGGAGAGGAAGGUAGAAUUCCCGGUGUAGCGGUGAAAUGCGUAGAGAUCGGGAGGAAUACCAGUGGCGAAGGCGGCCUUCUGGACUGACACUGACACUGAGGUGCGAAAGCGUGGGUAGCAAACAGGAGUAGAUACCCGAGUAGUC
rnacentral:rRNA from 1 species